rnacentral:ncRNA from 12 species
GGUUUUUGAAGUGAGAAAGGGCUCCUCACACGCUGAAAACAGUAAACAGAGAUGCAGGAUACGCCGCCCUGCCAAAAACC